rnacentral:rRNA from 1 species
UACAGAGGGGGCAAGCGUUGUUCGGAAUUACUGGGCGUAAAGGGCGCGUAGGCGGCCCGCUAAGUCGAACGUGAAAUCCCCGAGCUCAACUCGGGAACUGCGUCCGAUACUGGCGGGCUUGAAUCCGGGAGAGGGAUGCGGAAUUCCAGGUGUAGCGGUGAAAUGCGUAGAGAUCCGGAAGAACACCAGUGGCGAAGGCGGCUCACUGGUCCGGUACUGACGCUGAGGUGCGAAAGCGUGGGGAGCAAACAGG